GAUGAACGCUGGCGGCGUGCCUAAUACAUGCAAGUCGAGCGAACAGACGAGAGUGCUUGCACUCUCUGACGUUAGCGGCGGACGGGUGAGUAACACGUGGGUAACCUACCUAUAAGACUGGGAUAACUUCGGGAAACCGGAGCUAAUACCGGAUAAUAUUUAGCUUCGCAUGAAGCAAUAGUGAAAGACGGUUCUGCUGUCACUUAUAGAUGGACCCGCGGUGUAUUAGCUAGUUGGUGAGGUAACGGCUCACCAAGGCAACGAUACGUAGCCGACCUGAGAGGGUGAUCGGCCACACUGGGACUGAGACACGGCCCAGACUCCUACGGGAGGCAGCAGUAGGGAAUCUUCCGCAAUGGACGAAAGUCUGACGGAGCAAUGCCGCGUGAGUGAAGAAGGUUUUCGGAUCGUAAAACUCUGUUGUAAGGGAGGAACAAGUACGUUAGUAACUGAACGUACCUUGACGGUACCUUACCAGAAAGCCACGGCUAACUACGUG
rnacentral:rRNA from 1 species